rnacentral:lncRNA from 1 species
CCUCCAUGUUAUGAGCCAGAGUUUGUGUAACAUCUCUGUUUGAGUUUGACGCCAACCGAAGAAGUAAGAAAACAGCAAUCAGAAAAGCCAGACGCCAUGCAACAGAAUGACUUUGCCCAGGAUGCAAACCAGCUGGAGGAGAAAUACCAGGAUGAGUCACCCAGAGGAGAACCGGUCCAGUUGGAGUCCCCAGAUGCCGCCCCGUUCAGCUGCCUGGAUCACUUGGUGGUGCGGAGGCAUUCAUGUCGCACCAUGCAGCUGCCGCCCUUGGCUUUCAGGCUGGCGGAGCAGGCCUAUUACGACCGUACACCUGAACCGACCCCCAUGACAGUACCCUCCCGGCCGACCACUCUGUCUCUGCUGCCCCCCAUUAUUAACAUCACCGCCGCGGACUCCACCAGAAGGCGGGGUCAGUGAACCAGUCAGCCAAUCAGCACGACUCGUG